UAAGGAUGUACUGAAAACCGUGCUUCUCCCGGAGCUUUCUAAGGCCUUCCCGGGUUAUAAUCCUCACUCUGGCUCAAGUUAACCCCACAGAAAUGCAGCUGACCUUUCUAGGACAUCUUUCCAGACAAGCUGCGUUGGCCCUGCAAAUCCUCAACGCUGUGUGAAUCCAGCCAUCUACUUCCUAGCAGAGCCACUGUGCAAGAGUGGCUUACUACCGGGUUAUGCCUGCUGAACUCAGCUGGACAACACAAGCCCCACGACAGUCCUCUAAUUUGCUUCCAGUCAAAUACUAAGCCCAUCACUCUGCUUUG